rnacentral:rRNA from 1 species
UACGGAGGGUGCGAGCGUUAAUCGGAAUUACUGGGCGUAAAGCGCACGUAGGCGGUCAGGCAAGUCGGGUGUGAAAGCCCUGGGCUCAACCUGGGAAUUGCAUUCGAAACUAUCUGACUCGAGUAUGGGAGAGGGAAGCGGAAUUUCCGGUGUAGCGGUGAAAUGCGUAGAUAUCGGAAGGAACAUCAGUGGCGAAAAGCGACUUCCUGGACCAAUACUGACGCUCAUGAUGCGGAAAGCGUGGGGAGCAAACAGG